CAGAUUUGACUCUGGUUUCAUUUAUAAAGUUGCUGCUGAUGAUACAUGCUAAUCGUACUGCCCCAGUGAACGCCACUGAAGCUAUUGUAUUUAAUAUAUUAGCUGCCCCAUAGAUAUUAAAUCGGUUAUUAUAUCUCUCGCCUCGCGCCACUCCACACGGUUUUAAGCAGUACUUAAUAUUAAGCUAGAUGUGUAAGCAUGCCUUAGCUAGCAGCACAGAUAUAUGGCAAAUAACGUGCCAGCCGCCGCGGUUACACCAAAAAUGUAAACUUAUAAAUCACACCCCGUGCUUACUUAAUUACUCUGGUUACUGCUUAUGAGUUGCGGUCGCAUGCGCUCAGGCAUAAGUCACCAGUAAGUAGCCACACGAAAAGAAGAGAGAGACCAGGAUUAGAGACCCUGCUAUUCUUCUAUAGUUAAUACCAGGUUAUUACUAAUACCGUUUGAAAACCAAAGAUUUUGGCAGUGACUAAAGUCUAUUCAGAGGAAUUUGUUUCACGAAAUCGAUACUCCGCGAAUAUCUCACCCCCUUUUGUAUCUCAGCUUAUAUACCGCCGUCGUCAGCUGAUACUGAAAAGUUGGAACCAUCAGCAAACAGAUAAUCUUAACGUCAGGUCAGGGUGUAGCCAAUAAGGGGGAUGGAAUGAAUUACAAUUAAUCUCAAUUAACGGCUCCUCUAAAUGCAAUAAUAAGGUAAAGCUGGAUUUGAUUGUAAUUAUAUAGAAAUAUGAUAAAUUGAUUAUAGCUCUUAGUUAUGCACACACCGCCCGUCAUUUUCCUGAAAAAAUAAGGGAAAAAAGUCGUAACAAGGUAGGGUGUCUGGAAAGACACCCUGGAAAAUGGUAC
rnacentral:ncRNA from 1 species